rnacentral:rRNA from 1 species
CGGACGGGUGAGGAAUGCAUCGGAAUCUGCCUUUUUGUUGGGGGAUAACGUAGGGAAACUUGCGCUAAUACCGCAUACGACCUACGGGUGAAAGCCGGGGACCUUCGGGCCUGGCGCAGAGAGAUGAGCCGAUGCCGGAUUAGCUAGUUGGCGGGGUAAAGGCCCACCAAGGCGACGAUCCGUAGCUGGUCUGAGAGGAUGAUCAGCCACACUGGGACUGAGACACGGCCCAG